UACAGAGGGUGCAAGCGUUAAUCGGAAUUACUGGGCGUAAAGAGCACGUAGGUGGUUGGAUAAGUCAGAUGUGAAAUCCCCGGGCUUAACCUGGGAACUGCAUUUGUGACUGUAUAGCUAGAGUACGGUAGAGGGGGAUGGAAUUCCGCGUGUAGCAGUGAAAUGCGUAGAUAUGCGGAGGAACACCGAUGGCGAAGGCAAUCCCCUGGACCUGUACUGACGCUCAUGCACGAAAGCGUGGGGAGCAAACAGG
rnacentral:rRNA from 1 species